rnacentral:rRNA from 1 species
GACGAACGCUGGCGGCGUGCUUAACACAUGCAAGUCGAACGGAAAGGCCCUGCUUUUGUGGGGUGCUCGAGUGGCGAACGGGUGAGUAACGCGUGAGUAACCUGCCCUUGACUUUGGGAUAACUUCAGGAAACUGGGGCUAAUACCGGAUAGGAGCUCCUGCUGCAUGGUGGGGGUUGGAAAGUUUCGGCGGUUGGGGAUGGACUCGCGGCUUAUCAGCUUGUUGGUGGGGUAGUGGCUUACCAAGGCUUCGACGGGUAGCCGGCCUGAGAGGGUGACCGGCCACAUUGGGACUGAGAUACGGCCCAGACUCCUACGGGAGGCAGCAGUGGGGAAUAUUGCACAAUGGGCGGAAGCCUGAUGCAGCAACGCCGCGUGCGGGAUGACGGCCUUCGGGUUGUAAACCGCUUUCGCCUGUGACGAAGCGUGAGUGACGGUAAUGGGUAAAGAAGCACCGGCUAACUACGUG